rnacentral:SRP_RNA from 1 species
GCCGGGCGUCGUAGCGCGCGCCUGUAAUCCCAGCUACUCAGGAGGCUGAGGCAGGAGAAUCGCUUGAACCCGGGAGGCGGAGGUUGCAGUGAGCGAAGAUCGCGCCACUGCACUCCAGCCUGGGCGACAGAGCGAGACUCCGUCUCAA